CCUACGGGAGGCAGCAGUGGGGAAUAUUGCACAAUGGGCGCAAGCCUGAUGCAGCGACGCCGCGUGAGGGAUGAAGGCCUUCGGGUUGUAAACCUCUUUCAGCAGGGAAGAAGCGAAAGUGACGGUACCUGCAGAAGAAGCGCCGGCUAACUACGUGCCAGCAGCCGCGGUAAUACGUAGGGCGCAAGCGUUGUCCGGAAUUAUUGGGCGUAAAGAGCUCGUAGGCGGUUUGUCGCGUCUGCUGUGAAAACUCGAGGCUCAACCUCGGGCUUGCAGUGGGUACGGGCAGACUAGAGUGCGGUAGGGGUGACUGGAAUUCCUGGUGUAGCGGUGGAAUGCGCAGAUAUCAGGAGGAACACCGAUGGCGAAGGCAGGUCACUGGGCCGCAACUGACGCUGAGGAGCGAAAGCAUGGGGAGCGAACAGGAUUAGAUACCCUGGUAGUCCAUGCCGUAAACGUUGGGCACUAGGUGUGGGGCUCAUUCCACGAGUUCCGUGCCGCAGCAAACGCAUUAAGUGCCCCGCCUGGGGAGUACGGCCGCAAGGCUAAAACUCAAAGAAAUUGACGGGGGCCCGCACAAGCGGCGGAGCAUGCGGAUUAAUUCGAUGCAACGCGAAGAACCUUACCUAGAUUUGACAUACACCGGAAAAGUGCAGAGAUGUGCUCCCCGCAAGGUCGGUGUACAGGUGGUGCAUGGUUGUCGUCAGUUCGUGUCGUGAGAUGUCAGGUUAAGUCCCGCAACGAGCGCAACCCUCGCCUUUAGUUACCAUCAUUAAGUUGGGGACUCUAAAGGAACCGCCGGUGAUAAGCCGGAGGAAGGUGGGGAUGACGUCAAGUC
rnacentral:rRNA from 1 species